UACAGAGGUCUCAAGCGUUGUUCGGAUUCAUUGGGCGUAAAGGGUGCGUAGGCGGCGGGGCAAGUCAGGUGUGAAAUCUCGGGGCUCAACCCCGAAACUGCACUUGAUACUGCCUUGCUCGAGUACUGGAGAGGAGACUGGAAUUUACGGUGUAGCAGUGAAAUGCGUAGAUAUCGUAAGGAGGACCAGUGGCGAAGGCGAGUCUCUGGACAGUUACUGACGCUGAGGCACGAAGGCCAGGGGAGCAAACGGG
rnacentral:rRNA from 1 species